rnacentral:rRNA from 1 species
CUACGGGUCGCUGCAGUCGAGAAUCUUCCACAAUGCACGAAAGUGUGAUGGAGCGACGUCGCGUGCGAGAUGAAGGCCUUCGGGUCGUAAAUCGUUUUUAUAAGGGAAGAAUUUAGAUGACAUUACCUUAUGAAUAAGGGGUUGCUAAUUGCGUGCCAGCAGCAGCGGUAAUACGCAAACCCCAAGCGUUAUCCGGAUUUAUUGGGCGUAAAGGGUGGGUAGGCGGAUAUAGCAGUCAGUCGUUAAAUCACUGGGCUCAACCCAGUAAUCGCGAUUGAAACACUAUGUCUAGAGAUAAGUAGAGGUCAACGGAACUCAUGGUGUAGCAGUGAAAUGCGUUGAUAUCAUGGGGAACACCAAAGGCGAAGGCAGUUGACUGGGCUUUAUCUGACGCUGAGCCACGAAAGCGUGGGGAGUGAAGGGGAUUAGAUACCCCUGUAGUC